rnacentral:tRNA from 1 species
UCGGGGGUCGUCUAAUGGCAGGACCGGAGCCUUUGGAGCUCCUUGUCGGGGUUCGAAUCCCUGCCCCCGAG